GAUGAACGCUGGCGGCGUGCCUAAUACAUGCAAGUCGAGCGAACAGACGAGGAGCUUGCUCCUCUGACGUUAGCGGCGGACGGGUGAGUAACACGUGGAUAACCUACCUAUAAGACUGGGAUAACUUCGGGAAACCGGAGCUAAUACCGGAUAAUAUAUUGAACCGCAUGGUUCAAUAGUGAAAGACGGUUUUGCUGUCUCUUAUAGAUGGAUCCGCGCCGCAUUAGCUAGUUGGUAAGGUAACGGCUUACCAAGGCGACGAUGCGUAGCCGACCUGAGAGGGUGAUCGGCCACACUGGAACUGGGACACGGUCCAGACUCCUACGGGAGGCAGCAGUAGGGAAUCUGCCGCAAUGGGGGAAAGCCUGACGGAGCAACGCCGCGUGAGUGAUGAAGGUCUUCGGAUCGUAAAACUCUGUUAUUAGGGAAGAACAAAUGUGUAAGUAACUAUGCACGUCUUGACGGUAACUAAUCAGAAAGCCACGGCUAACUACGUG
rnacentral:rRNA from 1 species